rnacentral:rRNA from 1 species
CAGUAGCCGCGGGAAUGCGUAGGUGGCAAGCGUUGUCCGGAAUCAUUGGGCGUAAAGGGCUCGCAGGCGGUUUCUUAAGUCUGAUGUGAAAGCCCCCGGCUCAACCGGGGAGGGUCAUUGGAAACUGGGAAACUUGAGUGCAGAAGAGGAGAGUGGAAUUCCACGUGUAGCGGUGAAAUGCGUAGAGAUGUGGAGGAACACCAGUGGCGAAGGCGACUCUCUGGUCUGUAACUGACGCUGAGGAGCGAAAGCGUGGGGAGCGAACAGGAUUAGAUACCCCGGUAGUCCCUGUCUCUUAUAU